rnacentral:lncRNA from 1 species
UUUUAUAGUGGUAAUAGAGCCAAAUCAUUAAAAAAUGACGUUCAUACUAACUUUUGACCCAAAAAAUUAGAAAUAAAAUUAUUAGAAAAAAGAUUGUACUUGUUAAUACCUAAUGAAGAUCCAAAAUUAAGACUAUUAUAAAUAUGCAUAAAUCUAAGAAUCAUUUUCAUUAUAUAAGACCGAUAUGGGGCAAGAAAUCAUGGUCAUAAUAAAAUACAAAUUUGGAAGAUAAAUCCAUAAUUUAUGAUGAUUUGAUUAUAUAUUCUCUAGGAAAUCAUGGUCAUAAUAAAAUACAAAUUUAGAAGAUAAAUCCUUAAUUUAUGAUGUUUUGAUUAUAUAUUCUCUAUUUAUAUCAUUCAAUUUCUUAUAUAAGUUAGCUCAGUGAGCCUUGAGUGUCCACCAAAUAAUUUCUAAUUUUUCUGAAGACUUAACCCUCAUGUGAUGGACGUGUGUUAAGAAGAUAAUCACCUGACAAUGAUAAAGUAAAAAGACUGACUCGCACAUACUAAUAGGGUGUUAAGGAGAUAAUCACAUGAUAGAGAUUAGACAAAAGACUGUUUUUGAUGAGGGGUGUUAAAGAGAGAGAUAAUCACCUAAUAAGGAUCAAGUAAAAAUAUCGACCUAUGAGUGAUGAGGAGUGCUUGAGAGACAACCUCACAUCUAUUAGGGAAAAAAAACUCCUUGAGAUAAGUACAUAAGCUUAAGGCAACCAAUUUAUAAAUGUUUUAGGCUCAUAGAUUUCUAUAAAAAUAAAUUGAAAACAUUUGGCUAAUCUCUUUUAGAUUUUCACAAAUAUGGAUGAGGUGGAUAUGCCGCUCCAAAUAUUACUAAAGGUAAAUAUAUCUUAGUGUAUGAAUAAAAUCUAGAAUGUGUCACAAUAAAAAUAUUCUUAAUUUCUCAUAGUAAAUAAAAAUAGAUUCUUGGUAAUAAAUAUACAUAGAUCUUUAAAAAAAUGUUAUUUUAUUUUCAUUUAAAAAAAAGAAAUUAAAUUGAUUGCAAUAGAACCAUUCCAUGCGAAUUCCCUAUGUAAAUUUUUUCAUGAAUGGUUUGCCUUUCCUAUAUAUCUCUUUGUUUCAGUGAGUAAGCACUAACAAUUACACACUGUUUCAGGUGACAUAAAGAUUGAUUUUGUGUGCCAAUUAGAAGCAAAGACAUGAAGGAGACUAAUUGGCGAACAAUACAUAUAUGGAUCCUGCUGCAAUUAUAAGAAAUCUGAAACGUCCUCGAUUUAUGCUAAAAUAUAGUCAAGUGGCAAUUCAAGUUUCCCACUUUCCCUAAAGGAGAAUGAACGAGAAAACUAGGGGCGGCCAUAUGAUCACAAAAUUAUGAAAAAUGGCUGAAAGCAUCAUUAUUUGGUUUGGACUGGAAACAAUUAAUAUUCCCCCACUUUCAACGGCCAGAUUUUACACUUCUGUUACUCUUUCUCUCGUUCAGUUGCCUCUAUGACCACAAUUACCUUUUGUUUGCGAAAAUACUCAUUAAUUUAGUUUUAUAUUAUAUUAUUUGUUUUAAUCAUAUAUAUGAGGUUAUAAGUAGACAGUCCUAAUUAACAACCCUAAUGGUAGGCCAUGCUAAUAACUAGCAGCAAUGAACUCAGUGAAGUGGAGCUCAACAAGUCUCGAGUAGAUAUAAUUGGUUUUGUUUCCAAAUUCAGUCCCACACAUUUUAAAGCGAAUGUUUAUACUUAGGUUCUGUGUAGUGUCGUGGUGUUGUGGUUUUCAUCUCACAAACAUCUCCUGUAGAAAUAAGCUAUACUACUAAUUAAAAUGAAAAUUUAUGGUGUGCUUAAUAAUAUCCAAGUGAAAGUCUUUUGGAAUCAUUUUUAGAGCUUAUCUUUUAGUAAAUUACUUUUAGAAAGAGAGAUUGUAGUUCUCCUUAAUGGUUUUUUUAUUUAAUUUUUUAAAAGCUAAGGAGUGGAUAAACCUUAAAUUUAUUUUUUCACCCAGUAUCUCUCCUAAUAUUAGAACCUAAGUGGUUAGCCAAAUAAAACGACUUGAACAAUCUCUUGACCAUGCUUUUGGGACCCUUAAUAUUUUAAGCUUUAACCACCUAC